AAAGCGUGCGCAGGCGGUUAUGUAAGACAGAUGUGAAAUCCCUGGGCUCAACCUGGGAACUGCAUUUGUGACUGCAUGGCUAGAGUACGGUAGAGGGGGAUGGAAUUCCGCGUGUAGCAGUGAAAUGCGUAGAUAUGCGGAGGAACACCGAUGGCGAAGGCAAUCCCCUGGACCUGUACUGACGCUCAUGCACGAAAGCGUGGGGAGCAAACAGGAUUAGAUACCCUAGU
rnacentral:rRNA from 1 species